UUUUGUUUCCGUGAAUAAAAAUAGCGUGACUAUCAUGUUCAAUUUACAACUUCCUUUUAGACCUAUAAAGAAACAGCAUAUAAUGGAAUUCACAGAAAUUGAAACAAAUUCACGAAAAAGGAGUUUCAACGAACAAAGACAUGAUCCGUCUUCAACUAAAUAUCGCCGAACGUACGACUCACUGUGCCUCAGUAUACAAAGUUCCUGUAUAUUUCUAGACUUUAACCAAAC